UACAGAGGUCUCAACCGUUGUUCGGAUUCAUUGGGCGUAAAGGGUGCGUAGGCGGUCGGGUAAGUCGGAUGUGAAAUCCCAGGGCUCAACCCUGGAACUGCAUUCGAUACUGCCUGGCUAGGGUACUGGAGAGGAGACUGGAAUUUACGGUGUAGCAGUGAAAUGCGUAGAUAUCGUAAGGAAGACCAGUGGCGAAGGCGAGUCUCUGGACAGUUCCUGACGCUGAGGCACGAAGGCCAGGGGAGCAAACGGG
rnacentral:rRNA from 1 species